rnacentral:rRNA from 1 species
ACUGUCUCCCUUUUUUAAUCAGUGAAACUGAUCUCUCCGUGAAGAAGCGGGGAUACCCAUAUAAGACGAGAAGACCCCAUGGAGCUUUAAACCUAAUAACAUCUAUUUUAUGCAUGCCCUCUUAUUUAAUUAGUCUAUGUUAGCCGGUUUUAGGUUGGGGUGACCGCGGAGCACAAAAAAACCUCCACGAAAAAAGGACUAAUAAUCCUUAUCCAAGAGACACACCUCUAAGAAUUAAUAUAUUAAUUUCUAAUGAUCCGUUAUUCGAUCAACGAACCAAGUUACCCUGGGGAUAACAGCGCAAUCUACCUUAAGAGCUCCUAUCGACAGGUGGGUUUACGACC